AUUCUUCUGAAGGGCAAGUAUGGU
rnacentral:piRNA from 1 species